GACGAACGCUGGCGGCGUGCUUAACACAUGCAAGUCUGGGGGCUGGGCGACGCGUCACCGGCGAACGGGUGCGGAACACGUGAGCGACCUGCCCUGUGUGUGGGGGAUAGCCGGGCCAACGGCCGGGUAAUACCGCAUACGUCGCGCGCUUGGAGGCGCUGGGAGAAAGCCCGGAAGGGCGCACGCGGCGGGGCUCGCGGCCUAUCCGCUAGUUGGGGGGGUAGCGGCGCACCAAGGCGACGACGGGUAGCUGGUCUGAGAGGAUGGGCAGCAACAUUGGGACUGAGCGACGGCCCAGACUCGUACGGGAGGCAGCAGUGGGGAAUCUUGCGCAAUGGGCGAAAGACUGACGCAGCGACGCCGAGUGGAGGAUGCGGCCCUUCGGGGUGUAAACUCCUGUUGCUCGGGAAGAACGGCGGGACGCGGCCGGCUUGACGGUACCGGGUGAAGAAGCACCGGCUAACUCUGUG
rnacentral:rRNA from 1 species